UUAAUAGUGGGCGUGUGGCAAGCUCUAGCUCACGUCCUUCCGUAUUGCCUUUCUGAGAGGGCGUAGCAUGCUGGGACUUGUAGUCUGCGUAAGAUCCGGGCUUUAAAAGCAGAGAGCCAAUUCGAUUUUAUCUUAGCGACGUCAUUUUGGUCUUGGAGAAGGAAGGACAGCAAACCAACCAACCUGGGCGGGAAGAUGUUUCCUGGGAGCAGGUUGAGAGAACUUUGCAUUUCUAGGCCUAGGGAGGGCUGUGGCUCAGUUAGCGAGUUCAGGCCGGAGUGCCUCUACUUGUAUUAACUGCAAGGAGGAAUCCCGAGCCGUAGAAUCCGAUCCGUAGAUGUGGUCCAGUCCAGGAAUUCUUAUUCACGCGUCCGUGAACUUUAUUCUGAUAAACUUUUAAAAUAGGGCUUUUCCUUCGUCAUUUUAUAGAUUUUAUAAAUUUAAAAUUUUAUAAAUUUAAAAAUAUCAUUCUGAGAAAAGGUCAAGUCCCUGACCCAGAAAAAGAUAAGACCCCUCGAUCUAGCCCAGACCCUCCUUUGCACACCGCCUCCCGCAUUGAGUUGCUGAUCCGGUAGAGACGCCUUUUUAAUUUAUUUUAUUUUAUUUACUUUUGCCUUAUUUUAUAUCCCAAACUAUACUUCUUAGCACAGUAAUAGGCAGACCAUAAACAUUUAAAAUGCCCUUUGACUUGGAAAAAGAAAAUUUUCUUAGCAAGUCCUCAAGGAAUCAUUCACGCCCGUCUUUGUUCUUGUUCUGGCCUCUCGGAGCGAAGUAGACUAAAUCUAAUUCGGUUCCUGGUAAUGGCAUUUCUGACGCCUAGUACUUAAGUGCUGCUUAAAUCUAAUCCGAGCUGCGUUUCUUUCCUUCCUUCUGCCAGUCCGCAGUGAAUUUAAGGCUUUCACCACUCUCAUUUCUUUCUUCCGGAUCAAAGAAUCAUAUUAGUACUGAAAGGGAUCUCAGUUUCCCAUUCCAUUAUUUUACAAAUCGCGAAGCUGAAGCCCGGAGAAAUGUUAUCAGUUUACAAAGUUUCUUCCUCAGGUGAUUCUUCUAUUGUCCUGGCACAAAAGUCAAACUUCUCUGGAUACUCUCCUGAGUGUAAGGAAUCACUUGUGAGAUGGAUGGACUGCUUCCACUUGAUAUUCUCUUAUGUUUAAUUAAAUGAAUGAAAAAACUUACUAUAUAAGGCACUGUGCUUGAUGUUGGGAAUGGACAUGCAAAAAUAAAACAGUGUUUGCCUUCAAAGAGCUUUUGAUUUUAUAUAUUUGGUACAGAAUCUCUUCAUAUGAAAAUCUUCCUUAUAUGAGCAUUAAGGGUGAAAGUAAAGAAGUGGUCAGGAAGCUACUAAAAAUGCAAACUUUGGAUAAACCAUUAAUUAGAUAAUCUGAGUUUGUACUACCAGCCCUAGGGCCCUUUUAGUCAGACUUUCACAUUCAGGAAUGAAACAUCUUCUCCAUGAAUCCUAACAGCAAAUAUCCUUCUGAUGCCUUAUCUAAGAUUCUAUCUUCCCUUACUUAAUUUAGGGUGGAAAAGGAUGAAGGUUAUCAUAAAAUAUUUUAAAACUUUCUAAAAAUGGCUCAUAUCCCACCUCAUUUAAAUCUUAUUUCUUUCCUAACUUUAUGUGAAACCCCCCCCCCCCAAAUAACUAUGUACUCAAGUUAUGAAUUAAGAAUAUAUUCACUGAAUGAAAAAAAAAAAAUAGAAGCUACAGCAUUAAAACUC